UGUGCUUCUCACUCUUCACUAGACAACUGUUACAUGAUCUACAGUGACACUUUAUGUGUUUGUAACAGUGUGUGUCACUUGUAUGUUUUGUGUGUGUGUGUGUGUGUGUGUGUGUAUCCUCCAGAACGCAGAGCUGAAUGAAGCUGAAACUGAGGCGUCGCCACUCUCCAGUAAUCCUGCGCCGCUGAUGGGAAAUCCCUUCAGCACCAGAAGAUUUGCGUCACAUUCAAGAAACCAUCUUUCUCCUACAAUUUGAUCUGGAAACUCAGCAGAUCCACAUCGUGUGCUUUAAUACACAGGGUAAAGGUUGUAGAAGAUCUUUUGGCUGUGUUAUAAUUCAAUCUACUCUGAAGAUGAAGUGUGUAAAUGAGAUGUUGUAGAUGAUGCUGGAGUGUCCAGAGAAGUUCACACUGCAUUCUGGGAUCAGUUCCUUGAACAGUGUGAAGGGGAAGAUGAGUGUGUCCUAGACUGAGACCAGACUUCUCUGACUCUGAAUGGGAGUCAGUUGAAGGAUCUGGUGAAAGGAUGACUUGACCUCGGUGUUCUGCCAGUGACGCUUCAGUGCUUUCAUUUUAGCAUUGACUCAGUCAGUGAUGAUGUCAUGAUGUCAUCUUUCCACAACUCCCUCUCUUCGACUGAACGAUCUGCGGUUGCAAAGGCUGGUCAAGACACACUGGAGGAAUGAAGUGAUGAAGAGGAUUUGCUCGACCUCUUCACAAGAAUGGGCUCUCAUUGCAUCCCUCCAACAAACACCAU